UACGUAGGCAGCAAGCGUUGUUCGGAGUUACUGGGCGUAAAGGGUGCGUAGGCGGUUGUUUAAGUUUGGUGUGAAAUCUCCCGGCUCAACCGGGAGGGUGCGCCGAAUACUGAACGGCUAGAGUGCGGGAGAGGAGAGUGGAAUUCCUGGUGUAGCGGUGAAAUGCGUAGAUAUCAGGAGGAACACCGGUGGUGUAGACGGCUCUCUGGACCGUAACUGACGCUGAGGCACGAAGGCGUGGGUAGCAAACAGG
rnacentral:rRNA from 1 species